ACGACUACACUCCUACGGGAGGCAGCAGUAGGGAAUCUUCCGCAAUGGACGAAAGUCUGACUGAGCAACGCCGCGUGAGCGAAGAGGGCCUUCGGGUCGUAAAGCUCUGUUGUUAGGGAAGAACAAGUAGCGCAGUAACUGGCGUUACCGUGACGGUACCUAACGAGAAAGCCACGGCUAACUACGUGCCAGCAGCCGCGGUAAUACGUAGGCGGCAAGCGUUGUCCGGAAUUAUUGGGCGUAAAGCGCGCGCAGGCGGUUCCUUAAGUCUGAUGGGAAAGCCCACGGCUCAACCGUGGAGGGUCAUUGGAAACUGGGGAACUUGAGUGCAGGAGAGGAGAGCGGAAUUCCACGUGUAGCGGUGAAAUGCGUAGAGAUGUGGAGGAACACCAGUGGCGAAGGCGGCUCUCUGGGCUGUAACUGACGCUGAAGCGCGAAAGCGUGGGGAGCAAACAGGAUUAGAAACCCUAGUAGUCCACCAAUCC
rnacentral:rRNA from 1 species